GUGAUACAGUUUAUGGUUCCUCUUAUAAACUCCUUGAGGGCUAGCACAUAGUAGGAGGUCAGAAAAUGAAAGCAUAGCCCAGUCUUUCCUCCCUGGAAUCUCAGAAUCUGGUUGGGGGAAUCGAGAAAUGAUAGGAUGUAAAAAACCGCAGCCAAACAACGGUGUGGCGUUCAUCCCUGCAACAGGCGGUAGCCAGUCAGAGGCAAUAUUCGGAGCCAGAAGUGCCCUUGGGGACCGACCCUCCCUUCUGGGGGCUGUGCAGACGGGGGCAACGCGGAGAAAAACCGCAAUCGGCAGAGCAGGUGGUUGAACCAACGUCUACCAUUAACUUGUGUGAGCCUCCGAAAUCACCGCAUCUUUCUCAGACAUUCAGUUCCCAAUCGGUAAUCGAGGGGCUGGACUACCAUUGCGGCUCUCCGUGUGAGGUGCAGAAGAGGAGCUCGGGAGAUUGCUGUCAUCCGGGACUACCGUCUGCACUGCCAUCGCGCCAGGUCGGACCGGCGCAAGGAGGCCAGAUGUCUCAGGACGAGAAGGAGUCGGGGUCGCCCACAGAGAAUCAAGACCAUGGGGAGCUUUCCGUGACUGCAGAGCCUGCAGAGCCCACAGAGCCUGCAGAGCCCGCUGAGCCCACCGAGGCCGCCGAACCCAAGGAGCCUGCUGGAGCCCCUUGAGCCCAAGUUGAGCCUCCGCCCCCGGCCCCGAGCCCAUCCACUGUGAUCUGCCCACCUCCUACCGUCCCUCCUCCUCCUCCCAUCCUGGUGUCGGUGGCGACAGCUUCCACCUGGUCCUUUCCCACCGAACCGGUGGCCCCCAGCGAGCCGGAAGCCAGCACCAGCGAGGAGGACCCUAAAGCGAGCUCCAGCCCAAGUGGUGGAGGCAAGCAGGCACUUUGACCUGGAGGGCGGGGGAAUUGAAAUGAGAAUUUGAAGGAUGCACCCAGAUGAGACACUUACUAUGUG
rnacentral:lncRNA from 1 species